UACGUAGGGAGCAAGCGUUGUCCAGAAUCAUUGGGCGUAAAGCGCGUGUAGGCGGUCCGGUAAGUCCGCUGUGAAAGUCGGGGGCUCAACCCUCGGAAGCCGGUGGAUACUGUCGGGCUCGAGUACGGAAGAGGCGAGUGGAAUUCCUGGUGUAGCGGUGAAAUGCGCAGAUAUCAGGAGGAACACCAAUUGCGAAGGCAGCUCGCUGGGACGUAACUGACGCUGAGACGCGAAAGCGUGGGGAGCAAACAGG
rnacentral:rRNA from 1 species